UACGUAGGUGGCAAGCGUUGUCCGGAAUUACUGGGUGUAAAGGGAGCGCAGGCGGGAAGCCAAGUCAGCUGUGAAAACUACGGGCUUAACUUGUAGACUGCAGUUGAAACUGGUUUUCUUGAGUGAAGUAGAGGUUGGCGGAAUUCCGAGUGUAGCGGUGAAAUGCGUAGAUAUUCGGAGGAACACCGGUGGCGAAGGCGGCCAACUGGGCUUUUACUGACACUGAGGCUCGAAAGUGUGGGGAGCAAACAGG
rnacentral:rRNA from 1 species